rnacentral:lncRNA from 1 species
CCUGGAUGGUCAAUAAGGGGAUGAUGCCAAUUAGUCUGGAUUCUGGAACAAUGCUAACAUUCAAAUCCUUGACGUGUUGGUGCAUCCGUGCUUUGAUAAAAAAACAAUUAGGUAUGCUUCUCAGUUCUCACUACCUCUGCGUGAAAACCAAAAUUACAAAUCAUUAUUUGUUAUUUCCAACUAUUUUUUGUGGCUGAUUGGACAAUAUUUCCGUUUCUAACUUCCUUCCUUCGAAUGACUUGCCAAUGAUCUUUCACAAUUUUAUAGUGUUUACUUUAUUUCUGUAACUGAUAUCCUUUAAAUUCAAUUUGUUUUAAAGGUUCACCAUGUUUCUUUAACAAAAUUUAUCCAGUGAAUUGGUAUGUCUGCUCCACUGGGCAGCAGCUGCAACCUUUCAACUUUGGCUCUUGCACCAUUGUUUCAUAGGUGUAUGCUCUAUUUUCCUGUCUAGUCAUUUGGUCUUUAUAUUCAGCUUGUGUUUGUCAAGAGCUUAUUCGGUCAAAGGUUAUAAGAGAUAUGACAGUGCCUUUGUUGCGCUAAGGAAUAUGGGGUCAUGAAAAAUCAAGGUUUGUUCUUGCUCCAUUAUGUUUCCCACCAAUUGUUUUGUUAUACACCUUGUUCUUACUACUUGCAUGUGACAGCCGGAGCAGUAGGCAAAAUUCUAUUUCUUCUUCUAGAUUGCUAUACCAUUGUACAAGAAUCAGAAUAUCAGUGCAAUUGUGCCUUUUCAGUCCAUAUUUAACAAUGACAAAAAAUUAUUUUCCUUUCGUUUCUGUUUCACUUGUGUCUGCACCGGAGAAUGUUCAUCCUUGCCUUCCAUCACUGGAGAAUAUUCAUCCUUACUCACUUGGCCUACUGUAACAAUGCUAAUUUCUCUGCCAUCUAAUUGCUCCAUACACUUAGUUUGUUUAUAUCUAGAGUUCACAUAGGGAUUAGUAAACAAAUAGUCUUUUUUAAUCAAACGGCCAUGCAGGUUUGAGCAAGCUCAAAGUAGGCUGGGGAGGAUGACCAAUGAUUAUACUGAUGUUGGUCAAAGCCAUAUUUUUUGUGCAGGUCCUAGCGAGCUCAUCGCCCACGUAAAAUAUUCCUUGAUGGUGGUCCAUAUUUUUUGUGCAUAUUUAGCUCAGUAUUCGGCCAAACACUUUAACUUGUAUAUCGUAAGAAAGAAAAUGUACAAUUUUUUACUGAGAAGCAGUAAAUCUCUUGAUUACUAAAAUUGUCAGACACCUUUGUG